rnacentral:rRNA from 1 species
CCUACGGGAGGCAGCAGUGGGGGAUAUUGCACAAUGGGGGAAACCCUGAUGCAGCGACGCCGCGUGUGGGAAGACGGUCUUCUGGAUUGUAAACCACUGUCCCCAGGGACGAAAAUGACGGUACCUGGGGAGGAAGCUCCGGCUCACUACGUGCAAGCAGCCGCGGUAAUACGUAGGGAGCAAGCGUUGUCCGGAUUUACUGGGUGUAAAGGGAGCGUAGGCGGGGAUGCAAGUUGGGUGUCAAAACUACCGGCUCAACCGAUAGUCGCACUCAAAACUGCAGCUCUUGAGUGAAGUAGAGGCAGGCGGAAUGCCUAGUGUAGCGGUGAAAUGCGUAGAUAUUAGGAGGAACACCAGUGGCGAAGGCGGCCUGCUGGGCUUUUACUGACGCUGAGGCUCGAAAGUGUGGGGAGCAAACAGGAUUAGAUACCCGGGUAGUC